CAGAGCCCCGCUUGAUGGCAGGUGCUGGACAAUAACAAUGCUGGGAUCCCCGCCUCUGCUGCCACUUUCCUCACCAGCAUGGAUCCUGCCCUCUCCUUUGUGUCACUCACUAAAGGCUCAAAGUCUGGUUCAGGUAGAAACAAUUUUACGUGUCUCAGAAAGAACAAAGAGUUUAAGAUGGUGAUGCUGAGAUUCUGGACAAGAUGGACAUGGUGAUCUCUACUGGAAUCUGGGGACUGCUGUACUACGGUCAUAUACUACUGCUGGGGGCCUGGUGUUCCCGGGGUGCACUGGGGGCCUUGCUGUACUGAUAUGGUCAUAUGCUACUGGGGGCCUGCUGUUGCUGAGGUACAUUGUCAGCAGGCCUAGGCAUCGAAAAUGACAAAACUGUCUCCUGUUCAGAAGCACUUAGAAUCUCCUGCAUCGUGUAACAAGUGUUUAGAGAUCCCUAGAUCAGGGACUCUGGGGACAGUUUUUAAUUUACUGAUAAGUAAAGUUUUAAAAUGUGACAUCUUUGAGUACUGCUGCCCUAGUCUAUUAAACAAAGAGAAGCAAUUCCCAGGCCAGGAUCAUCCUACUAACCCAAACCUGAUAAUGCUGAUGUGGCCCAGGGCUGGCAGGAUGGCCUGGACUGUAACUAGGCAUCCCCUGCUUCCAUUUGCAGACAUGUGGCUUUGCCCUGAUGGAGACAUAGCGACAGAUCAUUUUGUACUACGUAGGUACAGAUCCAAAGGGCAUCUUAGGCUGGCUGUCAUUAAGUUCCAGUGAGGAACACCUGUCUUCUUCAGUUCCUGUUUCUCCAGUUUGCAUGCAACCUUAGCCCAUCAGAAGGCAGCGGAUAAGAGUUCCCCCUUGGAUGGCUUUAAGUUGGCAAACAGGGGUAGAAAAGAGGCCAAGCUGCGUGGUGGCAGGCACCUGUAAUCCCA
rnacentral:antisense_RNA from 1 species